rnacentral:tRNA from 1 species
CCUUUGAUAGCUCAGUUGGUAGAGCGGAGGACUGUAGAUCAUUAGGUAGCUGGUUCGAAUCCGGCUCGAAGGA